GGUAUUUAUAGGUUCACCAGAGGUCACAAUCUUCUACAACAAGCUGUGAUGGCUUCUUUCUCUGUUAUUUCCUCCUUCCAUCAGCCUGGAUAAUGAAUCCAGUAUCCCACUUAGGUUUAACGUUUAGCUACCCUGUCUAUGAAUAUAUGGACUCGUCUGGUGUAAUGGAGAGUUAUUUAAAGAUACCGAGACAUUUGACCCGUCCUAUAGUGCGCAGUUAUUAUCGAUUCGUCUUGAGGGCAAGAUCAACAUUACUAUUUUUACCAAAAGUUUUCAACAAUUAUCUGGACCAGAAAAAGUAUACAGCUGUUUUGUCCGACUUCUCAGUGGUACUGGGGCAUGAAAGUAUUUAUACGUAUGAGCCGACGGAAAGAACGAAUUAAGAAGGAAAUGUAAAAUGCUGGAAGUACAAUAAUGUACUCGGUUUUAUGUAGGUAACAAGAAGUUGAGUUUUUCAUUAAAACGCUGUCUAAUCUUGUAUGCCUCUGUUGCUGAUAACAAGGUGUUUAGCUUUUCAUCAGAAUUAGUCUAAAAGUUUGUCUUUGUUGUGUCUUGAUAACAAAUGCGUGUUUCGUUAAUGCAGUUUAACAGUUGCUUCAUCAAACACCUUAUCUCUUUCGUGUAUAGUAAACGAGGUGGCCAGCUCAUUAAAACAGUAUAACCUUGCAUUUGUUGUAAGGUGUGGUGCAUGCGUUUCAUCAAAAUAGUUAAACCCUGUCUGUUGUGUGUUGGUAAAAAUUCAAAUCAUCAUUAAAACUGUUUCUUCAUCAAAAUCUAAUACGUUGUCUCAAAUCAAAACAAUUUUCCAUUCUUAACGGGGUAAGCUGGUGAUAUGUUUGCAUGUGCUGAUGAACCUCUCGUUUUAGAUAUUGCACGACCGACCAGAUCAGUUUUACUGUUUUAAUUCCGAAAUUCUAUAACAGUGCCUUGGUGCUUCAGGACGUAGGUCACUAUAUAUAGCUGAUAGGUAGUAGGUCACUAUAGCUGAUAGGUAGGAGACCGGUCCACGUGUAUAAAGAUAGCAUUAAUGGACAUUAUAUCGUGUUAGUUUCCUCUUAAACAAUAACAGAUCCAAGAUGGCCUCGAUGGAUUGUAUCGGUCUUAAUGUGAAAUGAAAUUUAGGAACUCGCACUUGUGAUCAGUGAAGGCAAAACUCUCAAAUGAAAAGGCGAGUG